rnacentral:lncRNA from 1 species
GGCGUAGUGGACGGGACUGUGAGUGUAAUCGGCGGGGUUGAUUGGAGUAGGCGCCGCCGGGGAGGAAGAAGUAGACUUUGACAUUCCGUUAACGGCGGAUGGAUGUUUUUUUUGUCUGUAUUGGUGACAGUUGAGGAAGAGUGGAAGAGUAGAAGAAGAAGAAAGAUAUUAAUUUGACUAUUGAGAGAAGUGGGAACUGGACAGAACAGAAGCAGACAAAGAGAGGAGAAUGUUAUAAAAUUUAAACAUAAAGAGUAAUUAAGUCUUGGGUUGUUAUCCAGUGCAUACAGACUCAUCAUGAGCUCGUGCCUACUUUGAAUAAGGGAAAAGGGAAAGGAAAACGUUUGAUAGGGAGAUGGUACAUUACAUUACAUAAAAAGAUGGUCCACUCUACUAGUUGAGUUGUGAUGCACAAGCAAGCAAACAAGGAAGAAUUUGUUAUUUUAUUGGGAGGCACACAAUCCUUUUUGUCAUUCCCUUGUCUCCACUUUCAACUUUCACUUUACUACUAACUUGCUUUGAUUGGGACCUCAAAUAUCCUCCAACGACCAACUUACUACAAUGCAUAAGCUAGUUUGAAGUUUGAACUGAUUCCUGCUUCAGAAGUUGAUGGAUUUCUGGGUUUGGAGUCAUCCUGCUUCAAGUUGCUGUCAACUGUGUCUGUCUGCAUACGAGAGGCCUUCGAUCAAUCAAAUCGCAGUUAUGAUCAAACGCUAUAAUCCCGACGAUUUUAUGUAGGAUUAGGAUAGUUCAGUUAGCUUCUGGUUACUUUGUGCCAGCCAUUACUUCAUUUCUGCCAAAAGCAAAAGGAAAAAAACAUUGCAGACAUGUUUGCAGUCUGCAGAGAGCAGGAGGAGCACAGCUUCCUCCUUUUUUCUUUUUUGACUACCCUUUUCUCCUUCAUUUAUUUUUUUUCCUCUAUUAUUAUUAUUAUUCUUAUUCAUACCUUCAUUUCCCCACAAGUUAUUCUUUCUUUCUUCCAUUAAGCAAACAAAUAAGAAAACAAAAACUCUAACUAUGUAUCCACUUCUGCAACUGAAACUUAAUCUUUAACACUGGAGCUUCUGAGGCCAAAGCCACACAUUCUUAAUCAUCCAAGGUCACGCUCACAAGCCAUUGUGAUGCCCAUAACAAGAGAAAGUAACAACAACAGUCAUAUUCAAGUUUCCGAAUCCACAGGAAUACAAAUACAGUCUACUCUCAAGACCACUUAUUCAUACUAAGACUAGCACUACUGAUAACAUAGCGUGCAUGUCUACUAAUCCGCCAAGGUCCAAAGCCGCUCACUGCAACUCCUUCACAAAGUCUUCAUUGUCAACCAACACCUACAAAGUAAUAAACAAUGAAUUAGAUCGCAGAUACAAGUUUGCUCAAUCUAUAGUAUGUUCUGUA